CGGGGUCUUCUCAUCAGAGGGGGCGGUUUGGCUUAUGACCCUAGCACUGUGACCUCACUUCCUUGGCAACAAGUAGAAACAGAACUCGGAACCCUGGGGUCACUGGGCACCACAGUCCAGCGACGGCUGCCUAACAGUCACUUGGCUGGAGAGAGUCAGCAGCGAUCAUGCUGUGCUGCUUUCCCAGGCCUCGAGGCUGCAGCAACAGGACCCCGCGCAGGGAAAGCACUUGGGCGAGAGUGAGAGGAUGGAUGGCUAAGUCCCCAUGCUUCAGGCCGCUCACCAGGAACUGCCUGGCCAUCAGGGGCAGCACAGGAUUGGGGCCCAACGGGAGGAGAGCCAGGCAGAGGACUGCAUAGUGAGGAUGGUGCUGGCAGGCACGCAGCACCCCCUGAGGGAGACCCCGGAACAGGACUUCCUGGACAGCCACCCCAUCCACGCAGACUCCCUCCUGGACCCCUCUGGGGCCUGCAUUCCCACCCUGCAGGAGGGGAUGGUGCGAAGGUGAGCUCUGUGGUCGGCACCCAGGGGCACUUGGCCACUGUGGCCCCAAGUCUUUGGAAGGUAUGAGCCCUGCCUCAGCCUGCU
rnacentral:lncRNA from 1 species